AAUACUUGUCUUAAUGCUAUGAAGUGAGUAAGGUAAUAUUUUGGAUGUAAGGAGUUGAAUGAUGAUAGGAUUGGUGCAGCUCCACUGAAGUCAAUGGAGGUGUCAAUGCCAGAAUAAUGGCCAAAAUAUUUGGAGGGUUUUGUUUGUUUUGGACAAUGUUUUAAGAUUUUUAAUUAACAGUUCCACCAGGAACAAUGAAGUUACUGCAUUAGAAUUUAAGCCACUCACACCCAUGAUUUAUAGUCUUAUUUGGAGUAGUUGUUUUGUUUUUAAAUUGCUAAACAAUAUGAUUUGAAAAUUUGUCAGAAUUAAAGCCUGCAGCCAAACCAAGACAGUAUUAACUGUCAGCUUCCUAAGGCCUCCAAAAAGCUUGUUCUUUUGAGUUAUUGAUCUUUUUUAUUUUUUAUUUUAUAUUUUUAUUUUUAUUUUACUUUUCCUUAGAGGGGGCAGUUUGUUUACAUUAGGAAAGUAAUUAUUUGCCUGGGAGAAAAUGACAUGCAAAUAUAGUACUUGAUCCAAGAUAUUUGCAAAAUAAAAGUUCUUUAUAAUCUCUCUCUCUUUUUUUUUUUUUUUUUUUUUUUUCCUUAAAUCAGAUGCAAAAUAAAUAUCACUGAAGAAAAUACCCAAAGGCUUGGCUGUUUAUCUCUGACACAGAUCUCAGCACUUUUCAUGCCUUUGUAGCUUCAAGAUUGCAUUUCUGCUGUAGUCAGGAAGGACAGCACCCAUGGGAGGGACCCCUUGUAUUUUCUUCCCCUUUCCCUUUGAGGAGGGGCAGCGCGAGAGCAGUUGUGGUUGUGGCUCAGCUGCCCAGCUGGGUAAAACCACCACAUUCCUCCAGUUUUCCUUCUAGUGGAUACACUGAGUAGUAGAUGAUCAUCUUUUUAUAACCAGCUUUCAUGUAUCAAGAGGAUUAUGAAGCCUGCACUUUUUCAGAUCCUUCACCUCUUUUAGGUCUCAUUUUCUAAGCCACUUUUACUGUUUUAUUUUCUUCUCUGUAUGGAACUCUUCUGUAAAUACUACUAACAAUUGCUAGACCUACUGACUUUUUAAAUUAAGGCUGUACCAAAAUAAUUGAGUAAAUACAUAUAUGACAAUAUUGUGGUAUUAUUAAUAUGAAUAUUGUGAACAUAGAUGUUAAGGAAAAAUGUUGUCUCAUUCCGAACAGUAUAAUGUUCAUUGGCAGGCAUAGACUCAAAUGAAUUGACUGUGUUCCACUCUAGAUUUCAGUUACUGAAAACAAGUGUCUAAAAUAUGUUCUGCCCUUCUGUUGAAGAAAGACCUCGUCAUUACCAGAGUAAAUUUAGGUUUCGCCAAGCCCUGACCCAGAUGUUAAUACGUUAAUUCUAAACAUGGAGAAACUUCCAUCUGUACUGCAUCAGGUAGAGCUCCCAGGGACAUUUCUCCCCCCCCCUUUUUUUUUUGGGUGACAUUUUUUGGCUUUUUAUUUGAUACAGCAUAUUCCUCAGGCCUGUGCAAGUCUUCUUCUAAGUUGUGUAUUUGAUGUGAGGUUUUCAGCUGAUUUGCCUCUGCUUUGCCUAAGCAAAGGUGUAAGUAUGCUUACUUGAGCGUGUUUCUUAUUCCCUGUUAUUCCCAUAAGCGAAUAUACCUGAGCUUGGUCCAAGCUGGCUCCUAGUGCUCAGCAGACUGUCAGUCACUUUUAGGUAAGUGAGUCUGAUACCUGUAACUCUCAAUAGCUUCAUUUUUAAUCAAGCAGAUACAGAAUUGCAGAAUCACACAGAAUCACAGAAUUGAAGGGGCUGGAAGAGACCUCGAAAGAUCAUUGGGUCCAACCCCCCUGCCAAAACAGGUUCCUUAGAGCAGGAAUAAUUUUUUAUUUAACAUAAUAUAUAAACAAUUAUUUUGUUGCUACAAUGAAACAGGAACAUUCAAAAAUAAUAAAAACAAAGACACUU
rnacentral:lncRNA from 1 species